rnacentral:rRNA from 1 species
GGAAAAACGAGCUACACUCCCAACCCCAAUGUGAACGUUACCAAUCUGUUGCCUCGGCGGGAUUCUCUUGCCCCGGGCGCGUCGCAGCCCCGGAUCCCAUGGCGCCCGCCGGAGGACCAACUCCAAACUCUUUUUUUCUCUCCGUCGCGGCUCCCGUCGCGGCUCUGUUUUAUUUUUGCUCUGAGCCUUUCUCGGCGACCCUAGCGGGCGUCUCGAAAAUGAAUCAAAACUUUCAACAACGGAUCUCUUGGUUCUGGCAUCGAUGAAGAACGCAGCGAAAUGCGAUAAGUAAUGUGAAUUGCAGAAUUCAGUGAAUCAUCGAAUCUUUGAACGCACAUUGCGCCCGCCAGUAUUCUGGCGGGCAUGCCUGUCCGAGCGUCAUUUCAACCCUCGAACCCCUCCGGGGGGUCGGCGUUGGGGAUCGGCCCCUCACCGGGCCGCCCCCGAAAUACAGUGGCGGUCUCGCCGCAGCCUCUCCUGCGCAGUAGUUUGCACACUCGCACCGGGAGCGCGGCGCGGCCACAGCCGUAAAACACCCCAAACUUCUGAAAUGUUGACCUCGGAUCAGGUAGGAAUACCCGCUGAACUUAAGCAUAUCAAUAAAGCGGAGGACUCCGAGCAAAAAUAAAACAGAGCCGCGACGGGAGCCGCGACGGAGAGAAAAAAGAGUUUGGAGUUGGUCCUCCGCGCGCGCGCCCUGGGAUCUGCGGCUGCGACACGCCCCGGGCACGAGAAUCUCGCCCAGGCACAGAUUGGUUACGUUCACAUUGGGGUUUGGGGAGUUGUAAACUCCGGUAAUGAUCCCUCCGCAGGUUACCUUACGGGAGGGG